AUCUCUAGGUGAAAGUAUCUCUAGGCGUGGUUGUGGCCACUAGCUAUUUGUGCGCCACUAGCCAUUUCAAGAAGUUGUUAUAGUUAGGAGGAU
rfam:Cavia porcellus supercont2_49 genomic scaffold, whole genome shotgun sequence.